rnacentral:rRNA from 1 species
UACGUAGGGGGCAAGCGUUGUCCGGAAUCAUUGGGCGUAAAGAGCGCGUAGGCGGCCCUGUAAGUCCGCUGUAAAAGUCAACGGCUCAACUGUUGAAAGCCGGUGGAUACUGUCGGGCUAGAGUACGGAAGAGGCAAGUGGAAUUCCUGGUGUAGCGGUGGAAUGCGCAGAUAUCAGGAAGAACACCCGUGGCGAAGGCGGCUCUCUGGGACGGUACUGACGCUGAGACGCGAAAGCGUGGGGAGCGAACAGG